GGUAGCCAUGGUGUAGUGGUUUGGAUGUUGGACUAUGAUUCUGAAGAUGAGGGUUCAAUUCCCAGUUCAGCCA